AUUGAACGCUGGCGGCGUGCUUUACACAUGCAAGUCGAACGGUAACAGGCCGCAAGGUGCUGACGAGUGGCGAACGGGUGAGUAAUGCAUCGGAACGUGCCCAGUCGUGGGGGAUAACGCAGCGAAAGCUGUGCUAAUACCGCAUACGAUCUAUGGAUGAAAGCGGGGGACCGUAAGGCCUCGCGCGAUUGGAGCGGCCGAUGUCAGAUUAGCUAGUUGGUGGGGUAAAGUCCCACCAAGGCGACGAUCUGUAGCUGGUCUGAGAGGACGACCCGCCACACUGGGACUGAGACACGGCCCAGACUCCUACGGGAGGCAGCAGUGGGGAAUUUUGGACAAUGGGCGCAAGCCUGAUCCAGCAAUGCCGCGUGCAGGAAGAAGGCCUUCGGGUUGUAAACUGCUUUUGUACGGAACGAAACGGCCUGGGUUAAUACCCUGGGCUAAUGACGGUACCGUAAGAAUAAGCACCGGCUAACUACGUGCCAGCCGCCGCGGUAAGAC
rnacentral:rRNA from 1 species